GUUAAUGGUUCCUGUGAAGGUCUGUGUCAGGACGGAUGGAUGGGAGUCGACUGUACAGGAUGUGAUGGGAAAUACGGCCCAGAUUGUUCGUUAUCGUGUGAUGCCAGACACUGUAAAAACAACAAUGCACCGUGUGAUCACAUGACCGGAUCUUGUGGUGGAGAAUGUCUGCCUGGUUGGCAAGGUGCUACAUGUUCUGACAAUUGCAGUAAUACGACCUAUGGCGAUAACUGUGCAAUGCUGUGUUCAGACAGACAUUGUACUAACACAGCAUAUUGUCACCAUGAG